AUCUGAAAUCAGGCGGGAUUACCCGCUGAACUUAAGCAU
rnacentral:rRNA from 1 species